UAAGAAGACACUAGUAGAAAAGUGAGGUGGGAAGGGGAUCCGGACCGGUCUGUAACGGAUGUAUAGUGCUUAGCUAUUACGGUGGCGCAAGUUGUAGGUUACGAAUGAAAGUAAGAGAGAGAAGAGGUUAUAGGAUGAGAAAGAGAGUUAGAUGCUGCGGGUGGAUGGAGGUUAGGUUAAAGGGACGGAGAAGCUUGGCCAUGGUGGUAGGGAUAGGACGGUAGGAGAGAGAAUGAGAGAGAGCGAGAGGGAGAAUGGGGAAAGACGAGGGAGUAAGUAGUCGAGAGAUACCGAGUGCUGGGUAGAGGCUAAGGAGAAAGAGAGAGGGAAAGAGCUUAGCUAAAGUGAGAAAGAGACAGAGAGAGAGAGUCCCACUAUGGGGAAAUACGAGAGAGUGGAAGGAAGAGCCAGAUAGGGAGAGAAGCAAUGGCGGAGCUGUAUCGAUGUCCGGGCGCGUUCACUGUCAGCACACGGCCACAUAAACAGGUCCGCGGCUGCAAAUAACCGGCUCGGCCGCCGAUAUGGGGAUACGACGAAAUGCGAUAUAGCCUGCCCGUUAAAGCUAUACCGAUACUUGAUAUCUCGUGCUCUAGGAAGUUCCGGGAUACGUACGCAUCCAGCACGUAUUUAUAAACAUCGACGGAAAGACAGUACCUUGACGAAUGGAUUUCCUACGACGAUUUAAUACUCAGCUUCCUGUAUCAUCUGACAUCUGGAAUCUCAUUGUUGGGAAGGAUGACAGAAGUACUUUUCUGCUCCAUUCACGUGUCAUUGGGAGUACCCACCUGUGUAAGCGUCAACAUAACCUUAAAACCGGCUAUGCGUCGCGUGCUGACUGCAUAGAGAGACAGGACAGGUUGGUUAGCUGCCGCUAUUCUGCCGGUGGCACUUUCACGGCGAAAUAACGCUCCAGCCAUCCUCGUGCUCCUCCACCUUGUCCCCGGUACUUUUGCCUCCAUCGGGAGCGUCUCGGCCGACCUCCUUCAACGACGCCAAACCACCUCGAAUAUCAUCCGGCGUGCAGAAGGACCUUCCGCAGUAUCACCAGCAGUGGAACAGACGGAUAUUUGUAAUCAGCAAUCGAUAUUGAAUUUCUCUGGAAUUCUCUGGGGAAUUAGCGAGAGGUGUCGGCCCCUGGUGACGAUACGGAUGCGGUUGUUGUCUUGGGGAUGAAAGUUCUACCAGAGUACGAGGAGCGUGGAGAGGAAAAGAAGAGAGAAAAAGUUAAAAAAAAAAGAAGAAAAAUAAUGGACCCAGAAUUGAGCCUGGCUACGACUCCUAGUGAAAUGGGUGGCUGGGAAUUUUUCGCUAGGGGGAUAAAGUCGACGGUGUAUCUUAUGGGGACGUUGGGACGGGAUGUGCCGCGCAUAGGAACGCAUGAAUGAAUGAAAAACAGAGAGAGGAGGAAGGCGAAGGCGGUUGGAGUAAGUGAGAAAGAGAGAGAGAGAGAGAGAGAGAGGCGGAUGAACUUGUGGCUACGAGAGGGCGAGUAUCGAAAAGAGUCGGAAGUUCCUUGAGGAGGAGGCGCGGAAGAAUUGGAAAAAUAGAUGGACGACGGAAUCGCCGGAAUUAUUGGAAUGGAAACCCAGGAACGUCGCUUAAUGGCCGGGGAAAUAACGAAGGUACAUUUAUUAUUCAGCGACGCGUAUUUACAAAGUUGGAAAAAAGGACUCUGGAAAGUUUGGCUGUGAAAAAAGGAAAAUUAAAUGUCCGACUAGAGACCAGAUGAGAAUGCAGAAUGAGAGAGGAAUAGACCAAGAGCGAGAACGAGAGAGAGAGAGAGAGAGAGAGAGAGAGAGAGAGAGAGAGAGAGAGAGAACAGAGAGAGAAGGACGUGCAGACGUCGUUUGUCAAAUUUAGCAUGGUCGUCUCUACGAGCGUCGCGACGGUCUCGCCGACGCGUCCCUCGUCGUCGUGCCGUGUCGCCGUGGUUGCAUCCGGUCCCGGAUGCGUCCCCGGCAAUUUGCGGAUUUAGCUUGAGCAUCCUAGUACGUCGUAGCAGCCAGCAGUAGCAGCAGCAUCAUCACCAUGGAAAUACAGGACGAGGAAGAGGAAGAGCACAAGCAACACUAGGAUCUGGUGAUCCCGUCAGCAGUGGGAUGAACUCUAAUGAAAACCGGCCCUUGGUGACACGUGACACGUCGCCAAAGGAGAACGAGCUAACCAUGGAUCACAGCCAGAUGCGGAACGUUGCAUUCUCCACAGCAUCCUUCAAUCGAUGCACCUCCUCUCCGAGCUACCCUUACCCAGGAUCAAGUCAGCCAGUCAGCUACUACCUUCGCUGGCACUCCUUACUCUACUGUGUACCGGGUAUAGCUUCUCUCUUUCUCUUUUUUUAAAUCUCUAUCCGUCUCCUUCUCUCUAUCGGUACUUGCCCUUCCCAAUCUCACCCACGUUCUCUUCUUUCUUCCCUUUCACUGACUCUCAUUCCUUCCUUCUCUGUCUUUCUAUUUGGUACACCCUUCCCACCUCUCUCUCCCUCCCUCUCUCUGUCUCUCUUCCACCCUUGCCUCUGGCUUCAUUCACCACUUCGCUGGCGCUAAUUCGCAGAAAGUAAAUUGCAGGGAAAAAGGGGUGCUUGCUUCCCAGACUCCAGCCCGCCUAUAUAACCAGCGGCACCCCUCCUGCUGGAGCAGCCCCCAAGCAGCCCACACGAGAGCCAACCACCAAGUGGAUAUCUCGUUCCACCAAUUUCUCGAUUCGCUGCUUCAACUUCCCUUCAACCUUUCGCAUAUGACCUUGUCGCGCUUCGCUUAUGCUUCCGCUUCGUUUUACCAGACGUCUAGAAACACCGUGAUGCAUAGACAGGAGACCCACCCUCCGAGUGGUACACGCGUGGAGCCUUAUGAAGAAUCAGAGAAGAGGAAAU